CCUACGGGGGGCAGCAGUGGGGAAUAUUGCACAAUGGGGGGAACCCUGAUGCAGCGACGCCGCGUGGGUGAGGAAGUACUUCGGUAUGUAAAGCCCUAUCAGCAGGGAAGAAAAUGACGGUACCUGACUAAGAAGCCCCGGCUAACUACGUGCCAGCAGCCGCGGUAAUACGUAGGGGGCAAGCGUUAUCCGGAUUUACUGGGUGUAAAGGGAGCGUAGACGGCGUGCCAAGUCUGAUGUGAAAGGCCGGGGCUCAACCCCGGGACUGCAUUGGAAACUGGCAUGCUGGAGUGCCGGAGGGGCAAGCGGAAUUCCUAGUGUAGCGGUGAAAUGCGUAGAUAUCAGGAGGAAUACCGUUAGCGAAGGCGGCAAUCUGGCUGGAAACUGACGCUGAGGUGCGAAAGCGUGGGUAGCAAACAGGAUUAGAUACCCUUGUAGUC
rnacentral:rRNA from 1 species